UACAUGGGGUGCAAACGUUGCUCGGAAUUAUUGGGCGUAAAGCGCACGUAGGCGGUUCGUUAUGUCGGAUGUGAAAGCCCUUGGCUUAACCGAGGAAGUGCAUCCGAAACUGGCGAGCUUGAGUACGAAAGAGGAUCGCGGAAUUCCCGGUGUAGAGGUGAAAUUCGUAGAUAUCGGGAGGAACACCGGUGGCGAAGGCGGCGAUCUGGGUCGAUACUGACGCUGAGGUGCGAAAGCGUGGGGAGCAAACAGG
rnacentral:rRNA from 1 species